rnacentral:misc_RNA from 1 species
UACUACUGAGGCUCAGCCUUGCGGUGGCCGGUUCCUCUCGCCAGCGAAAUGGCGGGAGGAUGGCCCAAACCGAUGGGCGUUCUCGCGGAGCUGACCCAGCGUAGCAAAAAAGCACCUUUGUCUUUCACGGGACGGUGAUUCGCUGUGGAGGGGCUCUGUGGGGACGCCAGUUCCAACGACG